CAGUAGCCGCGGUAAUACAGAGGGUGCAAGCGUUAAUCGGAAUUACUGGGCGUAAAGCGCGCGUAGGUGGUUUGUUAAGUUGGAUGUGAAAUCCCCGGGCUCAACCUGGGAACUGCAUCCAAAACUGGCAAGCUAGAGUAUGGUAGAGGGUGGUGGAAUUUCCUGUGUAGCGGUGAAAUGCGUAGAUAUAGGAAGGAACACCAGUGGCGAAGGCGACCACCUGGACUGAUACUGACACUGAGGUGCGAAAGCGUGGGGAGCAAACAGGAUUAGAUACCCCUGUAGUCCCUGUUUCUUAUAC
rnacentral:rRNA from 1 species